rnacentral:rRNA from 1 species
AACGAACGCUGGCGGCAGGCCUAAUACAUGCAAGUCGAACGGGCGUAGCAAUACGUCAGUGGCGGACGGGUGAGUAACACGUGGGAACAUGCCUUUCGGUUCGGAAUAACGCAGGGAAACUUGUGCUAAUACCGGAUAAGCCCUUACGGGGAAAGAUUUAUCGCCAAAGGAUCGGCCCGCGUCUGAUUAGCUUGUUGGUGAGGUAACGGCUCACCAAGGCGACGAUCAGUAGCUGGCUGAGAGGAUGAUCAGCCUCAUUGGGACUGAGACACGGCCCAAACUCCUACGGGAGGCAGCAGUAGGGAAUAUUGGACAAUGGGCGCAAGCCUGAUCCAGCCACGCCGCGUGAGUGAUGAAGGCCUUAGGGUUGUAAACCUCUUUCAGCUCCGACGAAGCGAGAGUGACGGUAGGAGCAGAAGAAGCACCGGCCAACUACGUGCCAGCCGCCGCCGUAAC